GACGAACGCUGGCGGCGUGCUUAACACAUGCAAGUCGAACGAAGCUUGAUUACGGAUUCUUCGGAUGAAGUAUGAUAUGACUGAGUGGCGGACGGGUGAGUAACGCGUGAGUAACCUGCCCUUCAGAGGGGGGUAGCGUUUGGAAACGAACGGUAAUACCGCAUAAUGUAUUUUGACCGCAUGAUCGAAAUACCAAAGAUUUAUCGCUGAAGGAUGGACUCGCGUCUGAUUAGGUAGUUGGUGGGGUAACGGCCUACCAAGCCGACGAUCAGUAGCCGGACUGAGAGGUUGAUCGGCCACAUUGGGACUGAGACACGGCCCAGACUCCUACGGGAGGCAGCAGUGGGGAAUAUUGCACAAUGGGCGCAAGCCUGAUGCAGCAACGCCGCGUGAAGGAAGACGGUUUUCGGAUUGUAAACUUCUGUUCUUAGUGAAGAAUAAUGACGGUAGCUAAGGAGCAAGCCACGGCUAACUACGUG
rnacentral:rRNA from 1 species